GACAUCACUGAAGAGGGGUCAUUGGAAUAGAACAGUUUCGGAAUAAAACAACACGUGACCUUUUUCAAGGGGAAACUCAAGGCGUUCCCCUCAGCGGGUUCCAUGGUGUAAUGGUUAGCACUCUGGACUCUGAAUCCAGCGAUCCGAGUUCAAAUCUCGGUGGAACCUAACUUUUGAGAGGGGUGGGAGAGGAUUUUAAAAAAUAUAUAGGAUCCUUCUAUCUACAGUUCCAUUUCUGAAAGUCAGAGGCAUUGCAUGGGAGGAGCAACGUGACGAAACAAAGGCUGGAAGGAAUUACCUUGUCUCUAUACUAAAGCAGUGGGAGGCGCUGCAAACCAUGUGACUGACUCCGCUAAUUAAGGUGAUUAACUACAACAUUCACACUGGCCUCCAACGGACAAAGAGUUCUUCUCUCACCCUGGACUUUCCACAGAUAUAUAUAAACCUUCCUUGCUUAGUUUAUCCAUACCUCACAACCUCUGAGGAUGCCUGCCAUAGAUGUGGGCAAAACGUCAGAAGAGAAUACUUCUGGAACAUGGCCAUACAGCCCGGAAAACACACAACAACCCUGACUCUGUGAUAGUUUAGAAUGUUCAGUUUUAAAAAGGAUGAACAUUAGAAGUCAGUUGAGCCUUGAGUCAUCUUGAAUGUUGAAGUCUGUUAGAGCGCUGAAGGUAAUGUUAGAAGUUAGGAACUGUUGAGACUUGUUUAUCUUUUAAAGUAGACUCAUAUUAAAGAUAGCUGCAUAAAGCAAUA